AGGCAGAUGCAUGGUGUGGAAGUCAUGUAUAGAGGCAAUAAUCUGUGACAGAAAGAUUUACAUAAUAUUCUUUCAGGGCAAGUUCCCCAUCUUAAAAAGAUGGUGAAAUGCAGACGGCGUUCCUGACUGUAAUGAAUCUAAAUCAGUGUUUCUUUCUUCCACUCGUCGUUGCUGGCUGCAUUUAUUCUUGAUGUAGUCACGCUGCACCUGUGUACAUUCCCAAAGAGGUACCUUUCAGUUGUUGCAAGAAAAAGAAAGCAAAGAAGAAAAAAAUUGUGGACAUGUUCACACAUUUUCAUUACCACAAAAGUACUGAUGAAAACGCAUUGCAGUAGCUCGAAACCCCAUCUCAAGCCAGUCUCUUAUU
rnacentral:lncRNA from 1 species